GAUCUAUAUGCACAAACCAAUUAAUCAUACAUUGAAUGAGUCUGUACAUCUACAUUAUGUAGCAGGGCUUGACAUUUUAAAUCAUGUGCUACUAGACCAGCCUAAAAGUUACUAGCUGGUCCAAGCUUGGAGGAUCUAUUGCACACUCACCAGGGGAUUCUACAUGCCAGAGCGGAUGUUUUAAUUGCUAAUGGCUAAACAAUGCACUUAGGGUUAUAUUGUAUACGUCCUUAUAACUCAAAUGCACAAAUCAUCGAGUUCCAUUACCUUACCUGAUUUGUAGAGAAAAGCAGACAGACAAAUUGUAGCAAUGAGGACUCCACCAAUUAUGAUCUCUAUCAGGAAUUUGUGUUGAGGAGGG